UACGUAGGUGGCAAGCGUUGUCCGGAUUUACUGGGCGUAAAGGGCGUGCAGGCGGUCUGUUAAGUUCAGGGUGAAAGCUCCCGGCUCAACUGGGAGAGGUCCUUGGAUACUGGCAGACUUGAGGGAGGUAGAGGAGAGUGGAAUUCCCGGUGUAGUGGUGAAAUGCGUAGAUAUCGGGAGGAACACCAGUGGCGAAGGCGGCUUCCUGGCCUGUUCUUGACGCUGAGACGCGAAAGCGUGGGGAGCGAACAGG
rnacentral:rRNA from 1 species